GAGUUUGAUCCUGGCUCAGAACGAACGCUGGCGGCGUGCCUAAUACAUGCAAGUCGCGCGAGAAAGUGGUAGCAAUACCAUGAGUAGAGCGGCAAACGGGUGAGUAACACGUAAGUAACCUCCCUCUAAAUCUGGAAUAACCUUGCCAACGCGGGGCUAAUACCGGAUGUGGCCCGCUUUUCACAAGAAGAGCGGAUUAAAGGUGACCUCUAUUUAUAAGUUACCGUUUGGAGAUGGACUUGCGCACUAUUAGCUAGUUGGUGAGGUAACGGCCCACCAAGGCUUUGAUGGUUAGCCGGCCUGAGAGGGUGUACGGCCACAUUGGGACUGAGAUACGCCCAGACUCCUACGGGAGGCAGCAGUAGGGAAUUUUGCGCAAUGGACGAAAGUCUGACGCAGCAACGCCGCGUGAGUGAUGAAAGUCUUCGGAUUGUAAAGCUCUGUUGAGUGGGAAGAAAAGUUUAAGGAAUAAUACCUCUGAACGUGACGGUACCAUUCGAGGAAGCCCCGGCUAACUACGUGCCAGCAGCCGCGGUAGUUCCGUAGGGGGCAAGCGUUGUUCGGAAUCACUGGGCGUAAAGGGAGAGUAGGCGGGAAAAUAAGUUAGGAGUUUAAUGUCCGGGCUUAACCCGGAAUCUGCUUCUAAUACUGUUUUUCUUGAGUAUUGGAGAGGGAGAUGGAAUUCCAGGUGUAGCGGUGGAAUGCGUAGAUAUCUGGAAGAACACCAGCUGCGAAGGCGGUCUCCUGGCCAAAUACUGACGCUGAUGCUCGAAAGCUAGGGGAGCAAACAGGAUUAGAUACCCUGGUAGUCCUAGCCGUAAACGAUGGACACUAGAUGCUGGAGGAGUCAAUCCUUUCGGUGUCGUAGCUAACGUGUUAAGUGUCCCGCCUGGGGAGUACGCUCGCAAGGGUGAAACUCAAAGGAAUUGACGGGGGCCCGCACAAGCGGUGGAGCAUGUGCUUUAAUUCGAUGCAACGCGAAGAACCUUACCUGGGUUUGACAUGGGAGUGAAAGUUUCCGGAGACGGGAGCCUUUCCGCAAGGGACACUCCACACAGGUGCUGCAUGGCUGUCGUCAGCUCGUGUCGUGGGAUGUUGGGUUAAGUCCCGCAACGAGCGCAACCCUCGUCCUUAGUUGCCAUCAGGUCAAGCUGGGAACUCUAAGGAUACUGCCUGGUUUAACCAGGAGGAAGGUGGGGAUGACGUCAAGUCAUCAUGGCUCUUACGUCCAGGGCCAGACACGUGCUACAAUGGUCGGUACAGAGGGAUGCAAAAUCGCAAGGUGAAGCUAAUCCCAUAAAACCGAUCUCAGUUAGGAUUGGAGUCUGCAAUUCGACUCCAUGAAUGUGGAAUCGCUAGUAAUCGCGGAUCAGAACGCCGCGGUGAAUACGUUCCCGGGCCUUGUACACACCGCCCGUCAAGCCAUGAAAGAUGGGAGCACCCAAAGUCGUUUAUCCAACCGCAAGGGGGAAAACGCCUAAGGUGAGACCAUUGAUUGGGGCUAAGUCGUAACAAGGUAACCGUAAGCCGAAUUCCAGCACACUGGCGGCCGUUACUAGUGGAUCCGAGCUCGGUACCAAGCU
rnacentral:rRNA from 1 species